rnacentral:rRNA from 1 species
ACUCAAAGGAAUUGACGGGGACCCGCACAAGCGGAGGAUGAUGUGGUUUAAUAUGACGAUACGCGUAGAACCUUACCGAGGCUUGACAUCCCUGGAACCCGCUGGAAACAGUGGGGUGCCGCAAGGAAUCAGGUGACAGGUGCUGCAUGGCCGUCGUCAGCUCGUGUCGUGAGAUGUUGGGUUAAGUCCCGCAACGAGCGCAACCCUUAUCGUAUGUUGUAUUUUUCAUGCGAUACUGCCCGAGCCAAUCGGGAGGAAGGUGGGGAUGAGGUCAGGUCGGCAUGGCCCUUACGCCUCGGGCCACACACGUCAUACAAUGGCCGGUACAGAGCGCCGCGAAGCCGCGAGGCGGAGCUAAUCGCAUCAAAACCGGUCCCAGUUCGGAUAGGAGGCUGCAACUCGCCUCCUUGAAGUCGGAUUCGCUAGUAAACGCAGGUCAGCACACUGCGUUGAAUACGUUCCCGGGUCUUGUACACACCGCCCGU